CAUGAGUGAGCUUAAAACAUUUGCAAGGAACACUGCAGCAGAAAGCAAAGCAUUCUGAAUGACCAUUCACUGGGUUUAUUGACGACAAAGGAAACAACCCUUGGUGAACUCUCAUGAAUAUGUCGUAACCCUAGUCAGUUGGUUUGAUGCCACAGAUUGCAAUCUAAUCCAAAGCAUCUUUUUUUCUUUCUUUCCUCUGUGGUGAUUAUGUUUACAGAUUUACUCAGUAAAUACCUCCAUUCUCAACCAUCCAUUCAGGCCAGAGGUAUGUGAAGGACCUGUUGAGACGUAUUUGCCUGGGCCAGAUUAUAAAUUCAUUAAAUAUCAUCUUGUUCUUGGGACCUCAAAAGGGAAGUGUGGAAGGGAGGGUGAUCAUUAUCAUAUUAUCGAAGCAAAGCCAAGGGGAUAAAAGUAGGAACGAGACCUCUCCUUCUCUACAGACAGAUUGAAGACGCGAAGUUGCAGUUGUUGGACCAACACCAGCGAAAAGAUGUCCAAGCUCUCCUUGAUGAUUUUUACCUUCGUCAUUCUGGCCAUCAUUUUGUGCAACCACUCAGCAUGCUCUCGAAAAAGGCCAGGUAACUUUCCCUAUGAGCCUGGGAAUUGCCCAUCAUGCUUUGGAAAAAGUCUGAUGAAGUCUCAAGUCAAACACUGGAAGUGCAACAUGGGAAAUGUGGCGUGUAUUUGCUGGAAGAUACAAAAUGGUAUGUUCUUGAAAAGGUGUUUCUUUUGGUAUUACAUAUUAACAUUAUUUGCUAUUCUUUUUUACUAUUUAAAAAUUUGGUCAGUUGUUAUUUUUACAGCUAUCUAUAUUUCUUCUUCUCUUCAGGCUCAUAUGGGAAACGCUGUUCCAAGAAAGGAGGUGGACUUUUCUACAAGGUUUCCACCCCUCUUUAAAAGGCCACAACUGAAUUUCAGAGCUUUCUUACUGACAUUUAUGUAUUUUUUAUUAAUAGUUACACAUAUUCUGUCCACCUGCAAUGUAACGUGCCUCUGCAUCUAACUUAAACUCAAAUAUGUCAGCAUUUCUUAAUAAUAAAGGAGAAAAACAUUUAAAUAUAGACGUUUUU
rnacentral:lncRNA from 1 species